GGCGUAAAGCGCACGCAGGCGGUCUGUCAAGUCGGAUGUGAAAUCCCCGGGCUCAACCUGGGAACUGCAUUCGAAACUGGCAGGCUAGAGUCUUGUAGAGGGGGGUAGAAUUCCAGGUGUAGCGGUGAAAUGCGUAGAGAUCUGGAGGAAUACCGGUGGCGAAGGCGGCCCCCUGGACAAAGACUGACGCUCAGGUGCGAAAGCGUGGGGAGCAAACAGGAUUAGAUACCCUGGUAGUCCACGCCGUAAACGAUGUCGAUUUGGAGGUUGUGCCCUUGAGGCGUGGCUUCCGGAGCUAACGCGUUAAAUCGAC
rnacentral:rRNA from 1 species